rnacentral:rRNA from 1 species
GAUGAACGCUGGCGGCGUGCCUAAUACAUGCAAGUCGAGCGAACAGACGAGGAGCUUGCUCCUCUGACGUUAGCGGCGGACGGGUGAGUAACACGUGGAUAACCUACCUAUAAGACUGGGAUAAAUUCGGGAAACCGGAGCUAAUACCGGAUAACAUGUUGAACCGCAUGGUUCAACAGUGAAAGACGGUCUUGCUGUCGCUUAUAGAUGGAUCCGCGCCGCAUUAGCUAGUUGGUAAGGUAACGGCUUACCAAGGCAACGAUGCGUAGCCGACCUGAGAGGGUGGUAGGCCACACUGGAACUGAGCCACGGUCCAGACUCCUACGGGAGGCAGCAGUAGGGAAUCUUCCGCAAUGGGCGAAAGCCUGACGGAGCAACGCCGCGUGAGUGAAGAAGGUCUUCGGAUCGUAAAACUCUGUUAUUAGGGAAGAACAAAUGUGUAAGUAACUAUGCACGUCUUGACGGUACCUAAUCAGAAAGCCACGGCUAACUACGUG